AUGACUAUCCAACCUAUAUUUUGUGACAUGUUUGAUACUGCUUCUUUUAACAUUCGAGCUCAGAUGAACCCAACAUAUUAUGAUUCAUUUGAGUGGCUAUGCAGGGAGGAGCAUGAAUCUCCAGAAGUAUGGUCCCAUAUUUGUGUUCAGAAGCUUGCAGAACUGGCCAAACAGAGUACAACUAUGCGAUGCAUCCUUAUUCCAAUGUUUUCUUACUUUGAUAUGAUGAAGGAACAAUGGGCUCCUCAGCAUGGACUAGCUUUGCUUGUCUUGUCUGAUAUGUCUUAUCUACAGAAGAGUUCAGGCAACGAACAAUUGAUUUUGACUGCUGUCAUCCGUCAUCUGGACUACAAGAAUAUUUUGCACUGUCCUCAGACUAAAUCUGAUAUUAUUCAGACAGCGACAUCUUUGGCACGACAGCUGCGAUCAUGA
rnacentral:rRNA from 1 species